UACCAGCACCCCGAGUGGUCGGGACGAUUAUUGGGCCUAAAGCAUCCGUAGCCGGUCAUGCAAGUCCUCCGUUAAAUCCACCUGCUUAACAGGUGGGCUGCGGAGGAUACUACAAGGCUAGGAGGCGGAAGAGGCAAGCGGUACUCAGUGGGUAGGGGUAAAAUCCUCUGAUCCAUUGAAGACCACCAGUGGCGAAGGCGGCUUGCCAAUACGCGCUCGACGGUGAGGGAUGAAAGCUGGGGGAGCAAACCGG
rnacentral:rRNA from 1 species